CUGGCGCCCGAGGAAUGGUUUCGGGGAGCGCGGACGCGGCCCGGAGGACUCGAUGCCCGCCCAGGCCUGCUCGCGGAAGAGUUCAAGGUGCUCUCCGCCUCGGGAGGCCGUGUGGGGCUCGCGCUCUGGACGGUUUCCCACCUGGCAGUGCAGCCGCUGGGAAGUCCGGGCGCCGGAGGGGUCACCGGUCGUCUGCAAGGGGAGGCGGAGGCUGAGCGCCCCGGUCUGGCCCGGGCGACCCAGACGUUCCAGACGCCCUCAUCCCGGCUGCCCAGCGCCGCGCCCGCACACCCCCGGGCGUGGGGGGCGACAUGGCCGCGCUGUCGCCCUGGCGGUUUUUCUGGAGUUCAGACCGCAAUCCUGCCCUAUUUGGUUAAGCUCGAGCUAGUUGCUCCUGACGGCGUCUUAAGAACAAAAGUGUCCCCCUCCCCCUCCCCGAAAUUGCAUUUUCAGCAGUUUGGUGGGGAUCUUAACUACUAACCAUGUUUCACAUGUAUUCACGUGUUUUCACGACCAUCCAGUUGGCACGCUUUGGGCUGUCCCAAAUCUGUGUGGAGGAGCCUGUUUUUAGGGGUACGGUUAGGCCAUUUUCCUGGUCUGGGCCUCUGGCGGCAUCUUGGGUGUGAACCUGGUGUGGAUGGUGGCCUUUCCGGAGCUCCUGGCGUUGUCCAUGUGAUUGUGAUGUUUCACCUGCAGGCCUUUCUAGUCUGCAGGCGGCCCAGCUUGUGGCAGGAGGGAACAGGUGCAGAACAGGAGCGGCUCCCGGAGACCUGGCGACCCCCGGGGGCCGGCCGGGCCCGCUGCUGCCUUCCACCCGGAGACACAGAGGCUCCCCCUUCCUUGGCAGGAUUGGAUGUUGAAUUAUAUGGCCAUCCUACGUAUGGAGCAGUUUAUCUUGAAAAGUUCCUACCGAGAAAGUGAAAGCCAAAGGAAGACAGUGUGUUGAAUAGACUGGACUCGUGAGCCAUUUUUGUGAGGAGCCGCUACUCCACAGAGGGGAUGUCAGUUGUGUUAAGGA